rnacentral:rRNA from 1 species
UACGAAGGGGGCAAGCGUUGUUCGGAUUUACUGGGCGUAAAGGGCGCGUAGGCGGAUUCGUAAGUCAGAGGUGAAAGCCCUGGGCUCAACCCGGGAAUGGCCUUUGAGACUGCAAGUCUUGAGUGCGAGAGAGGGUGGCGGAAUACCCAGUGUAGAGGUGAAAUUCGUAGAUAUUGGGUAGAACACCGGUGGCGAAGGCGGCCACCUGGCUCGCAACUGACGCUGAGGCGAGAAAGCGUGGGGAGCAAACAGG